rnacentral:rRNA from 1 species
CCUACGGGAGGCAGCAGUGAGGAAUAUUGGUCAAUGGGCGGAAGCCUGAACCAGCCAAGUAGCGUGCAGGAUGACGGCCCUACGGGUUGUAAACUGCUUUUAUACGGGAAUAACGCGCCUUACGUGUAGGGCUUUGCAUGUACCGUAUGAAUAAGGACCGGCUAAUUCCGUGCCAGCAGCCGCGGUAAUACGGAGGGUGCGGGCGUUAUCCGGUUUUAUUGGGUUUAAAGGGAGCGUAGGCCGCAUGUCAAGCGUGCGGGGAAAUGUUCGGGCUCAACCCGGGCCUUGCGGUGCGAACUGGGGGGCUUGAGUCCGUGGAAGGCAGGCGGAAGUCGUGGUGUAGCGGGGAAAUGCUUAG